AUUUAUAUAGUUUAAUAAAAACAUUAUAUUUUCAUUAUAAAAUUAGAUCUAUAUCUUGUAAAUA
rnacentral:tRNA from 1 species